rnacentral:rRNA from 1 species
UUCGGUUGAUCCUGCCGGACCUGACUGCUAUCGGAUUGGUACUAAGCCAUGCGAGUCAUUGUAGCAAUACAAGGCGGACGGCUCAGUAACACGUAGUCAACCUAACUCGUGGACGUGGAUAACCUCGGGAAACUGAGAAUAAACCACGAUAGAUCAUAGUGCCUGGAAUGGCUUAUGGUCCAAGCAGUUUACUGCCAAANUUGGGNNGACUGGGACUGCGGCCUAUCAGCUUGUUGGUGAGGUAAUGGCCCACCAAGGCGAUUACAGGUACGGGCUCUGAGAGGAGAAGCCCGGAGAUGGGUACUGAGACACGGACCCAGGCCCUAUGGGGCGCAGCAGGCGAGAAACCUUAGCAAUGUGCGAAAGCACGACUGGGUCAGUCCGAGUGAUUCCUGAUAAAGGAGUCUUUUGCUUGUCCUAAAAGCACAGGUGAAUAAGGGGUGGGCAAGUCUGGUGUCAGCCGCCGCGGUAAUGCCAGCACCUCGAGUGGUCAGGACGUUUAUUGGGCCUAAAGCAUCCGUAGCCGGCUCUGCAAGUCUUCGGUU